rnacentral:ncRNA from 1 species
AAUGAGCCCGAACAGGGGUCCCGGACGAGGGUAGCCGUACCCGGAACGCGACAAGACGGCCACAG